AUACGUAGGGGGCGAGCGUUGUCCGGAAUGAUUGGGCGUAAAGGGCGCGUAGGCGGCCCGGUAAGCCUGGAGUGAAAGUCCUGUUUUUAAGAUGGGAAUUGCUUUGGAUACUGUCGGGCUUGAGUGCAGGAGAGGUAAGUGGAAUUCCCAGUGUAGCGGUGAAAUGCGUAGAGAUUGGGAGGAACACCAGUGGCGAAGGCGACUUACUGGACUGUAACUGACGCUGAGGCGCGAAAGUGUGGGGAGCAAACAGGAUUAGAUACCCUGGUAGUCCACACUGUAAACGAUGAAUGCUAGGUGUAGGGGGUAUCGACCCCUUCUGUGCCGCAGUCAACACAAUAAGCAUUCCGCCUGGGGAGUACGGCCGCAAGGUUGAAACUCAAAUGAAUUGACGGGG
rnacentral:rRNA from 1 species